UACGGAGGUGGCAAGCGUUGUUCGGAAUUACUGGGCGUAAAGGGCGCGUAGGCGGUUAGACAAGUCAGAUGUGAAAGCCCCGGGCUUAACUCGGGAACUGCAUCUGAAACUGUAUAGCUUGAGUUCUGGAGGGGGCAGUGGAAUUCCCAGUGUAGCGGUGAAAUGCGUAGAUAUUGGGAGGAACACCUGCGGCGAAGGCGGCUACCUGGACAGAAACUGACGCUGAGGCGCGAAAGCUAGGGGAG
rnacentral:rRNA from 1 species